AUUGAACGCUGGCGGCGUGCUUAACACAUGCAAGUCGUGCGGUAACAGGCGUAGCAAUACGUGCUGACGAGCGGCGAACGGGUGCGUAAUACAUGGGAAUCUGCCUUUUAGUGGGGAAUAACCCGGCGAAGCCGGGCUAAUGCCGCAUAAGAUCUUCGGAUGAAAGCGGGGGAGUCGUAAGACCUCGCGCUGAUAGAUGAGCCCA
rnacentral:rRNA from 1 species